rnacentral:pre_miRNA from 1 species
UUUGUACUCCCUCCGUUCGGAAUUACUUGUCUCGGAUAUGGAUGUAUCUAGAACUAAAAUACAUCUAGAUACAUCCAUUUCCGCGACAAGUAAUUCCAAACGGAGGGAGUAGAUU